rnacentral:sRNA from 1 species
UUGGAAAUCUUGAUCAGCCAGAUCUUUAUUAUGAGUACUACCCGCACGUGUACCCUGGGCGCAGGGGCUCCAUGGUCCCCUUCUCGAUGCGCAUCUUGCACGCGGAGCUUCAGCAGUACCUGGGGAACCCACAGGAGUCGCUGGAUAGACUGCACAAGGUGAAGACUGUCUGCAGCAAGAUCCUGGCCAAUUUGGAGCAAGGCUUAGCAGAAGACGGCGGCAUAAGCAGCGUGACUCAGGAGGGCAGACAAGCCUCUGUCCGGCUGUGGAGGUCACGUCUGGGCCGGGUGAUGUACUCCAUGGCAAACUGUCUGCUCCUGAUGAAGGAUUAUGUGCUGGCCGUGGAGGCGUAUCAUUCGGUUAUCAAGUAUUACCCAGAGCAAGAGCCCCAGCUGCUCAGCGGCAUCGGCCGGAUUUCCCUGCAGGAAAUGGAGAUUGCAAUACCUAGCUAUUUGGGAUAUCUCUGAAGACGUUGUGCCGUGGCUGCUACAGAACUUCUCAGACAGCCUCGCGCAGCUGAUGACUGCAUUGCCAUCUGCACAUACAGAAAACCCGGCCCCAGUAAGUUCCGGCGUGGACAGGUCAGUGUGUUGUCUGAAGAUGCUGGAUCUCGGAAGAAGGAUGAAGCAGGCAGGUUUUGCCCUUGAAGAACACAGGCAUUUGUGGGAGUCAAGGCCCGAGAGCACCGUUGUGAUCAGCAAGAACGACCACAUAUCAGCCCAGUGGAUGCCCGAGCACACAGCAGACCCCCACCCAGUUCUGAAACCCUCCUGGGUGCACCUGGACCCGCCCUCUCCAGACCUCUUCUGUGCUGGGACCUCUCCUCAUCUCCGCUGGGUUCAGCAGAGGGUUGCAGAGGCGGGACCCUGUGUGUACACGUGGUGCUGAGCUGCCAGAGAUCUCAGCACGUCCCUCGUCCCCCGUCCUGCGCGUAGCUGCCAUUAGCCUUCCGGGAGUACACUCCACCCUGCCGUUUCUGGUCAGAGGUCCUGCUAGGGCCUU